rnacentral:rRNA from 1 species
UACGUAGGGUGCGAGCGUUGUCCGGAAUUAUUGGGCGUAAAGAGCUUGUAGGCGGUUUGUCGCGUCUGCUGUGAAAAUCCGGGGCUCAACCCCGGACUUGCAGUGGGUACGGGCAGACUAGAGUGAUGUAGGGGAGACUGGAAUUCCUGGUGUAGCGGUGAAAUGCGCAGAUAUCAGGAGGAACACCGGUGGCGAAGGCGGUUCUCUGGGCCUGUACUGACGCUGAGGAACGAAAGCGUGGGGAGCGAACAGG